CACACAUGCGCGUGUGCGUGCAUGUGUGCACACGUGUGUGUGCACACACACUCCAGACCAACACUCGGCAGUCACCUGCUGGCUGUCUUGGGAGGUCACACUGCCAGGCGGGUGCAGGGGAAACGAACCACUGAAGAGAAGCCCGAACGCAAGGCUGGGCUGCUGGGGCUUCGUGCCCAACACAGCGGGCUCCUCGGACUUUAGAGUUCAAGAGCGAGACUUAGGCAAGCCGCUCCCUGGACGCAGACCCCUUCAAGGAGCGGGGCUCCAGGUAGGUCUCCGUGCCUUGGACUGUCAGGCUCAGUGUGUCGGCCUAUUGGCUCAUCUCACUUCUGCCGGGUUUGAGGAGCUGGUCUCCAUAUCCUGGCUUCCAGUGUCACGGGGACACCUGGGAGGAGACUCUGAGCCCCUGCAUGCAGAAACACGAAAAGCGAAGCCUCCAGAAAAGCAUUCUGUCCUUGCCAGGCCUGCAGGUCUUGUGCGAGCCUCUGCUCUGAACUGCGUGCUGGAGGCGGUUGGUGUGUGUGUGUGUGGGGGGGUGGUGUUUGUGCGGUUGCGGUGUGGGGACGCUUCUCUCUCUGCCGUCACAGAGCUACUUUAUUCAGGUCCCUGCUGUGUUGUCGCCUCCUCAGAGACCCGCCCUGACCCUCCAACUCCAGGAGCCCCUCUCACCUUAUUUUAUCUUAAAAUAUACAAAGAUUCUAUCUCCGUAAUUGACAUCUGCAGCAUCAGAAUGAACACGUCCUGACGUCAGGGAGUCCGCUUGUCUUGUUCCUGGGUGGGUCCCCACAAUCGACAGCAGGACCUGGACAGGCCUGGCCUACCCGAGAGGGCUCAGAGGGCCCAGGGCCCCUGGUGGCAUGUGGGAGGAUCCUGGGGAUCAGUCAUCCCGCCUGUAAAAUGCGAAUUUGCAUUACUGCCCUGCCCUCCUCACGGGCAAUCUGCAGAUUGGUCUGAAGAGAGAACGUACGAGAUCUGGCACACUGGCUUCACAGGUAAGGGCUGGGGGUGGCAGCGUAAUC
rnacentral:lncRNA from 1 species